AUUGAACGCUGGCGGCAGGCCUAACACAUGCAAGUCGAACGAGUGGCGGACGGGUGAGUAAUGUCUGGGAAACUGCCGGAUGGAGGGGGAUAACUACUGGAAACGGUAGCUAAUACCGCAUACCAUCGGAUGUGCCCAGAUGGGAUUAGCUAGUAGGGGGGGUAAAGGCUAACAUAGGCGACGAUCCCUAGCUGGUCUGUGAGGAUGACCGUCAAAACUGGAACUGAGACACGGCCCAGACUCCUCCGGGAGGCAGCAGUGGGGAAUAUUGCACAAUGGGCGCAAGCCUGAUGCAGCCAUGCCGCGUGGAUGAAGAAGGCCUUCGGGUUGUAAAGUACGUUCAGCGGGGAGGCGUUACCCGCAGAAGAAGCACCGGCUAACUCCGUGCCAGCAGCCGCGGUAAUAC
rnacentral:rRNA from 1 species